rnacentral:rRNA from 1 species
GUUCUGUUUGUAGAUGUAAAGAGUCUGACCUGCCCGCUGAUUUAAUAAGUUGAAGGGCUGCGGUAUUUUGACCGUGCAAAGGUAGCAUAAUCAUUAGUCUUUUAAUUGAAGGCUUGUAUGAAGGGUUGGACAAGAAAGUAGCUGUCUCUAGAGUAAAUUUAAAAUUUAACUUUUAAGUGAAAAGGCUUAAAUGGGUUAGGGGGACGAUAAGACCCUAUAAAGCUUUACAUUUUGAUUAAUUGAUAUUGAUUUGUAAGUAGUAUAAGUAUUAAUUAAUUGAAUGUUAUGUUGGGGUGACAUAGGUAUAAUUAAUGUAACUGUUUAAUUGUUAUACAUAUUAGUUGAAUAAUAUUUAAUUGAUCCUAUUUAAAGAUUAAAAGGUUAAGUUACUUUAGGGAUAACAGCGUUAUUUUCUUUGAGAGUUCUUAUCGAAAAGAAAGUUUGCGACCUCGAUGUUGAAUUAAAAUAUCUUUACAAUGCAGUAGUUGUAAAAGAAGGUCUGUUCGACCUUUAAAUUUUACAUGAU